GAGUCAGUAGUGCAACGGUUAGAGCACACGUUCCCCCGGAUAGAGUGAGAUGCGGGUUCGAGUCCCGCAUGACACG